rnacentral:rRNA from 1 species
AGCAGCAGCCGCGGGAAUACGAAGGGUGCAAGCGUUAAUCGGAAUUACUGGGCGUAAAGCGUGCGCAGGCGGUUUGUUAAGACAGAUGUGAAACCCCCGGGCUCAACCUGGGAACUGCAUUUGUGACUGGCAAGCUAGAGUGUGGCAGAGGGGGGUGGAAUUCCGCGUGUAGCAGUGAAAUGCGUAGAUAUGCGGAGGAACACCGAUGGCGAAGGCAGCCCCCUGGGCCAACACUGACGCUCAUGCACGAAAGCGUGGGGAGCAAACAGGAUUAGAUACCCCUGUAGUCCCUGUCUCUUAUAC